CAUAUUUCCUAAGCAAUCUGCAAACGUAUGAGAGUCAUGGAGGGACAAUCUCUAUUAAAAUUAGCUGUCUUCCCCAAUCAGCAAAUGAAGAGAAUUUCAUUCAAGGGAAAACUUUGUUCUAUUAAAGGAAAUUGAACUGGAAGUUUUUACUGCCUGAUGGGGUAUUGUCUUACACUUGAUCUUAGCCAAAAGGCCGAGAAGCGAUAGGGGUAUUGUCUUAAUGGUGACCUAAAGGACAGUUUAUUCAUCAAAUGAUCUGCUUUUUCUUUUAGAGAUGGUCAUUAAAUUGGCAAUUCUUACAUGGACUUUGUACUGAAAAACACAGGAAAUGAUAUCUACAAUGGUACCUAAAUGAAAGCUAAAUGAUGAUAUCUAAAUGAUAUCUGAAACUAACAUGUAAAAGUAAUGUGG
rnacentral:lncRNA from 1 species